rnacentral:rRNA from 1 species
CUAACGCGUUAAGUAGACCGCCUGGGGAGUACGGCCGCAAGGUUAAAACUCAAAUGAAUUGACGGGGGCCCGCACAAGCGGUGGAGCAUGUGGUUUAAUUCGAUGCAACGCGAAGAACCUUACCUGGUCUUGACAUCCACAGAACUUUCCAGAGAUGGAUUGGUGCCUUCGGGAACUGUGAGACAGGUGCUGCAUGGCUGUCGUCAGCUCGUGUUGUGAAAUGUUGGGUUAAGUCCCGCAACGAGCGCAACCCUUAUCCUUUGUUGCCAGCGGUCCGGCCGGGAACUCAAAGGAGACUGCCAGUGAUAAACUGGAGGAAGGUGGGGAUGACGUCAAGUCAUCAUGGCCCUUACGACCAGGGCUACACACGUGCUACAAUGGCGCAUACAAAGAGAAGCGACCUCGCGAGAGCAAGCGGACCUCAUAAAGUGCGUCGUAGUCCGGAUUGGAGUCUGCAACUCGACUCCAUGAAGUCGGAAUCGCUAGUAAUCGUGGAUCAGAAUGCCACGGUGAAUACGUUCCCGGGCCUUGUACACACCGCCCGUCACACCAUGGGAGUGGGUUGCAAAAGAAGUAGGUAGCUUAACCUUCGGGAGGGCGCUUACCACUUUGUGAUUCAUGACUGGGGUGAAGUCGUAACAAGGUAACCGUAGGGGAACCUGCGGUUGGAUCACCUCCUUACCUU